rnacentral:lncRNA from 1 species
AUAAAAAUAUUUUUUUUUAUAAAAUUUGAUUUUACUUUAGUAAAACUAUUUUUCCUCUAAACUAAAUAAAUACAAAAUAAUUUUUUUAGUCAAAAAAUUAUUUUCUGAUAUAUUUUUCUAAAAAUCAAACACUCCCAUAAAUUGAUCCAGGACGAUCAAACAUUUCAGAUAAAUUUCAACCGUUGCGGAUAAGGCGGAGGCCGUUCCAACUAUUUCAGUUAGGAUAAGAAUCGAGAUGAUUCCAACUACUUCGGUUGCAGAUAAGGUGGAGGCCGCUCCAACUAUUUCGAUUAGGAUAAGGACUAUUUCGAUUAGGAUAAGGAUCGAGAUAGUCCUAACUAUUUUGGUUAGGAUAAAGACAAAGUUGUUAUUUUUAAAAUAUUUUGUUUUUAUCUAUUUGUAAUAGGGGCCUUACUGGUUCUUGUAAAAUCACUCAAGUAUAGAAAGAAUUAAUAUAUAGA